rnacentral:sRNA from 1 species
CAAUCUCUUCUUCUUCUUCUUCGUUCUUCUCGUAGCUUGAAAUAAGAUUCAUCAGAAGAGUAAAUAAACAUCAAAAUCCAAC